GGGCGGAUAGCUCAGUUGGGUAGAGCGCCCGCCUUACACGCGGGAGGUCACAGGUUCAAUUCCUGUUCCGCCUACCG
rnacentral:tRNA from 1 species